GACGAACGCUGGCGGCGUGCCUAGCACAUGCAAGUCGAACGGGGUAAUUUCUUCGGAGAUUACUUAGUGGCGAACGGGUGAGUAACGCGUGAGAAACCUGCCUCUCAGUGGGGGACAACAGUUGGAAACGACUGCUAAUACCGCAUAAUGUUUCCGGAAGGCAUCUUCUGGAAACCAAAGCUUUAUGUGCUGAGAGAUGGUCUCGCGUCUGACUAGCUAGUUGGUGAGGUAACGGCUCACCAAGGCGACGAUCAGUAGCCGGUCUGAGAGGAUGAACGGCCACAUUGGGACUGAGAUACGGCCCAG
rnacentral:rRNA from 1 species